rnacentral:rRNA from 1 species
ACUCCUACGGGAGGCAGCAGUGGGGAAUUUUGGACAAUGGGCGCAAGCCUGAUCCAGCAAUGCCGCGUGCAGGAUGAAGGCCUUCGGGUCGUAAACUGCUUUUGUACGGAACGAAAAGCCCUGGGUUAAUACCCUGGGGUCAUGACGGUACCGUAAGAAUAAGCACCGGCUAACUACGUGCCAGCAGCCGCGGUAAU